rnacentral:rRNA from 1 species
AUCUAUGGUCAUGAUACCCUGAACAAGCCCGAUCCCAUCUGAUCUUGGUUGCUAAGAAGGGUUGGGCCUGGUUAGUACUUGGAUGGGAGACCACCCAGGAAAACCAGGUGCUGUAGGCA